GGAUGCGAGGGCGAUCUGGCUGCAACAUCUGCCACCCCAACGAUCACCAGGGUUGAUUUGGCUGAUCUGGCUGGCUAGGCGGGUAUACACCUCCUUCCUCAUCAAUCCAUGUGCCCAGUACCAUUGUCUAGACUAUUGUAGCUUUAGAGUAAGUCUUGAAAUCAGGAAGUGUGGAUCCUCUAACUUUGUUCCUCCUCAAGGUUGUUUUGGAUAUUCUGGGUCCCCUGCAUUUCCAUAUGAAUUUUAGGAUCAGUUUGUCAAUUUCUUUU
rnacentral:snRNA from 1 species